AUGGUGCCCUCCUCACUCAGUGUAUACAUAUGUGUCCCCGCAACAACACCUUCGAAGGCGGCUGUCUAUGUGUCUUUUCCCCCUCACGCCUCGCUCCCUUGUUCCCACCGCAGCCUCCAUUUUCUUUUCUUGCUCUUCCUCAGCUAGCCGCCUCCUUGAUGCCCGACAUCCUCAGCACCGCAAAGGAGGACGAGGCGCCUCAAAAGGACCUCACCCUACCUUCGAUUAAAAAAACAACAACGGAGAAUAUUUGCAGGAUGUGUCUUCAACCUUUGGCUGAUGUCUGCAUUAAACAUCAGAACAGUGAUAUGAAUGCCAGAAUUCCUGAACCUUGAACACAACACGAGAAAGAGAAAUGUCAGACUCAGCAGGCAUUUUAUUCCUUGGCAAUUGCAAGUGGACAACUCUUAGUUUGCUUCAUCUUCUCAAUAGGUUAAUGUCAACCUCCCAUAGGGCAUUCACUGCUGCGGUACCAAAAUUAUGGAAUGGCCUGUUGUAAGAGAUCCAUCUUAUCACUACCUUAGAGGCAUUUAAGAAGACACUCAAGACGGCUGUCUUCCAGCGGGCUUAUCCACCGGACUCCAGGUUAUGACAAUCGCCCCACUCUUGACUAUGAUUAUUGGCUAAUUGUUGAAUUGCUAUUUUAGAGAACUAAUAGGAAUGUUGGUGAAUUCAG